GAUAAACGCUGGCGGCGUGCUUCAGGCAUGCAAGUCGAACGGUCCUUCCGGUUCGCCGGACGGAUAGUGGCGGACGGGUGAGUAACACGUAAGUAACCUGCCCAGAAGUGGGGAACAACCGGCCGAAAGGCUGGCUAAUACCGCAUGUGAUGGUCCUUCCUUGGAAGGAUUAUUAAAGGCUUUGGCCGCUUCUGGAGGGGCUUGCGGCUGAUUAGCUUGUUGGUGGGGUAACGGCCUACCAAGGCAACGAUCGGUAGCUGGUCUGAGAGGACGGACAGCCACACGGGGACUGAGAUACGGCCCCGACUCCUACGGGAGGGCAGCA
rnacentral:rRNA from 1 species